rnacentral:tRNA from 1 species
CGGGAAGUAGCUCAGCUUGGUAGACCCCCACGUUCGGGACGUGGGGGUCGCAAGUUCAAAUCUUGUCUUCCCGA